rnacentral:rRNA from 1 species
AACACGAACCAAGGAGUGCAACAUGCGUGCGAGUCUUUGGGUGUCAAACCCUGUGGCACAAUGAAAGUGAAGGCAGGCAUUGGUCUGCUUAGGCGAGAGUCUCUUUUGGGACACAUCGUCGACCGAUCCCAGGUCACGCUGUGGCGGGAUUUGAGUGAGAGCGUGCCUGUUGCGACCCGAAAGAUGGUGAACUAUGCCUGAAUAGGGUGAAGCCAGAGGAAACUCUGGUGGAAGCUCGUAGCGAUUCUGACGUGCAAAUCGAUCGUCAAAUUUGGGUAUAGGGGCGAAAGACUAAUCGAACCAUCUAGUAGCUGGUUCCCUCCGAAGUUUCCCUCAGGAUAGCUGGAGCCCGGUGCAGUUUUAUCAGGUAAAGCGAAUGAUUAGAGGUCUUGGGGUUGAAACAACCUCAACCUAUUCUCAAACUUUAAAUGGGUAAGAAGCUUGGCUUGCUUAAUUGAAGUCAGGCAUUGAAUGCCGGGGCUCUUAGUGGGCCAUUUUUGGUAAGCAGAACUGGCGAUGUGGGAUGAACCAAAUGCUGGGUUAAGGUGCCCGAAUCAACGCUCAUCAGAUACCAUAAAAGGUGUUGGUUGAUCUAGACAGCAGGACGGUGGCCAUGGAAGUCGGAAUCCGCUAGGG